CGGGCGAGGCGCCGGUCUAAGUCCCUUGGAACGGGGCGUCAUAGAGGGUGAGAAUCCCGUAUGCGACCGGUGACCGAGUCCAUGUGAAACUCCUUCGACGAGUCGAGUUGUUUGGGAAUGCAGCUCAAAAUGGGUGGUAAAUUUCAUCUAAAGCUAAAUACCGGCCAGAGACCGAUAGCGCACAAGUAGAGUGAUCGAAAGAUGAAAAGCACUUUGGAAAGAGAGUCAAAAAGUACGUGAAAUUGUUGAAAGGGAAGCGCUUGCAACCAGACCUGCCCGCGGGUGAUCAACCGUCCUUCUGGGCGGUGCACUCGCCCGUGAUCAGGCCAGCAUCGGUUCGGGCGGCCGGAUAAAGGCCUUGGGAACGUAGCUCCUCUCGGGGAGUGUUAUAGCCCUUGGUGCAAUGCGGCCAGCCUGGACCGAGGACCGCGCUUCGGCUAGGAUGCUGGCGUAAUGGUUGUAAGCGGCCCGUCUUGAAACACGGACCAAGGAGUCUAACAUCUAUGCGAGUGUUUGGGUGUCAAACCCAUACGCGUAAUGAAAGUGAACGGAGGUGGGAACCCUUUACCGGGCGCACCAUCGACCGAUCCAGAUGUCUUCGGAUGGAUUUGAGUACGAGCAUAAAUGUUGGGACCCGAAAGAUGGUGAACUAUGCCUGAAUAGGGUGAAGCCAGAGGAAACUCUGGUGGAGGCUCGCAGCGGUUCUGACGUGCAAAUCGAUCGUCAAAUUUGGGCAUAGGGGCGAAAGACUAAUCGAACCAUC
rnacentral:rRNA from 1 species